AUUGAACGCUGGCGGCAGGCCUAACACAUGCAAGUCGAACGGUAACAGAAAGCAGCUUGCUGCUUUGCUGACGAGUGGCGGACGGGUGAGUAAUGUCUGGGAAACUGCCUGAUGGAGGGGGAUAACUACUGGAAACGGUAGCUAAUACCGCAUAACGUCGCAAGACCAAAGAGGGGGACCUUCGGGCCUCUUGCCAUCGGAUGUGCCCAGAUGGGAUUAGCUAGUAGGUGGGGUAACGGCUCACCUAGGCGACGAUCCCUAGCUGGUCUGAGAGGAUGACCAGCCACACUGGAACUGAGACACGGUCCAGACGCCUACGGGAGGCAGCAGUGGGGAAUAUUGCACAAUGGGCGCAAGCCUGAUGCAGCCAUGCCGCGUGUAUGAAGAAGGCCUUCGGGUUGUAAAGUACUUUCAGCGGGGAGGAAGGGAGUAAAGUUAAUACCUUUGCUCAUUGACGUUACCCGCAGAAGAAGCACCGGCUAACUCCGUG
rnacentral:rRNA from 1 species